GCCGGAGUGGUGGAAUUGGCAGACGCGCCGGACUCAAAAUCCGGUCCAGCUAAAACUGGGUGUGGGUUCGAGUCCCACCUCCGGCA
rnacentral:tRNA from 1 species